CCCUUAGAUGUUCUGGGCUGCACACGUGCUACACUGGCAGGUUCAGCGAGCUUCAUUCCCUGAUCUGAAAGGAAUGGGAAAUCUUUUCAAAACCUGCCGUGCUUGGGAUAGAUGUUUGCAAUUAUUCAUCUUCAACGAGGAUUGCCUUGUAAGCGCACGUCAUCAGCGUGCAUUGAAUACGACCCUGUAUUCUGUACACACCGCCCGUCGCUCCUACCGAUUGAAGUUUUCGGUGAGUUGACAGGAGGAUUUUUUUGAAACUGGUUCGCCAGUGGAUUUUAGAUCCAAAUGCCAACGAAUCGAUGGCUUUAGAGGAAGGAGAAGUCGUAACA
rnacentral:rRNA from 1 species